rnacentral:misc_RNA from 1 species
UUUCCGUAGGUGAACCUGCGGAAGGAUCAUUACUGAGUGAGGGCCCCUCGGGGUCCAACCUCCCACCCGUGUUUAACGAACCUUGUUGCUUCGGCGGGCCCGCCUCACGGCCGCCGGGGGGCAUUUGCCCCCGGGCCCGCGCCCGCCGAAGCCACCUGUGAACGCUGUCUGAAGCAUGCAGUCUGAGACAAUUAUUAAAUUAAUUAAAACUUUCAACAACGGAUCUCUUGGUUCCG